rnacentral:rRNA from 1 species
CCCUUAGACGUUCUGGGCCGCACGCGCGCUACACUGACGAAGGCAACGAGCUUUCCUUUACCGAAAGGUACGGGUAAUCUUUUGAAACUUCGUCGUGCUGGGGAUAGAUCCUUGCAAUUUUUGAUCUUAAACGAGGAAUUCCUAGUAAGCGCAAGUCAACAGCUUGCGUUGAUUACGUCCCUGCCCUUUGUACACACCGCCCGUCGCUACUACUGAUUGGAUGUUUAAGCGAGGUUCUCGAACUGCUAGCGACUUAGCUUCGGUGAGGUCGCAGUGUGGGAAGUGAACCUAGCUUUGGUGUCUAGAGGAAGUAAAAGUCGUAACA